AUUGAACGCUGGCGGCAGGCCUAACACAUGCAAGUCGAGCGGCAGCACGGGGAGCUUGCUCCCUGGUGGCGAGCGGCGGACGGGUGAGUAAUGCAUAGGAAUCUGCCCGGUAGUGGGGGAUAACGUGGGGAAACCCACGCUAAUACCGCAUACGUCCUACGGGAGAAAGCGGAGGAUCUUCGGACUUCGCGCUAUCGGAUGAGCCUAUGUCGGAUUAGCUAGUUGGUAAGGUAACGGCUUACCAAGGCGACGAUCCGUAGCUGGUCUGAGAGGAUGAUCAGCCACACUGGGACUGAGACACGGCCCAGACUCCUACGGAGGCAGCAGUGGGGAAUAUUGACAAUGGGCGAAAGCCUGAUCCAGCCAUGCCGCGUGUGUGAAGAAGGCUUUCGGGUUGUAAAGCACUUUCAGCGAGGAAGAAAGCCUCUGGGUUAAUACCCCAGAGGAAGGACAUCACUC
rnacentral:rRNA from 1 species